rnacentral:lncRNA from 1 species
GCCAGCGAAAGACACGCGCUCGACUUAGCAAGAUAGGGGCUAGACAAACCACGGUGAGGAAAACGGCACCUACAAGUCUUCCCAGACAGCUGUCUGCAGUUGAAAUUGAACGGCUUGCAGUAAACUUCUUGGAGGAGAAUUGGCAUUGCAAGGGUGUUACUGGAGACCUCGGCAAGAAAGUGAAUGCAAAGACAGAUGACCCAGGAACCCGUGAUGGAUAAGGCUCUUGACAGCCAGGACGUGGAAUUACAGGGGGUCUCUUUGAGAGACAAAAUAAAAAAAAUAGCCCAGUAAUCUUCCUUCCACCCUUUUCUCCCAGAUCUAAUUACAGAUGUCUUGACAUUCCUUCUGCAUAGAAUUUCCUUAAAAGAUUUGCCAAGAAGAAACAUUUGGAAACUGUGUUUUAGGUAUAAUCCGUCUGGGAGUCACUCUUGCUCGCUUUGUCGUUAGAUGACAAAACGCUUAAUUACAGCGAGCACAAUGUAUACCACAUUUGGAAAACUGGAUUCUUGACCUAAAUAAUGUACCCCAUACUGACAAUGGCCUUUUGGCAAAACUUGUGUCUCUGAUCUCACAUUAAUUACUACACAAAUAUACUUAUUGUGGGCACCGAGUUUAUGGGAUGGAGUCCUCUUGACACAUGUUCACCAUAAAAACACAUUUUUUUCCCUUCCCCUGACCCUAAGGAAAAGAAAAAAAAAAAGAUUAACAUUUUUCAAGAUGCUGUUUUAGUGACAUGAAAACUGUCUGUUGAGUGUUCACUCGGCUUUUGUUCUUUUUCUUUUCUCCUUUUAUUAAAAAGCCUUUCAAACCAAGCAUUCCUGGUUUGUGAUUCUUUACUUUUGCUUUUAUGCUGAGGGAGAGACAGAUUAGAUUAGAUUAAAGACCAAGGGACACCUCGUGAAAUACAUUCCAUCUAGAGGCAAUUUGGUUGAGAGGGCCAAUUGUGUGUGUGUGUGCCUGUGUGCGUGCAGGCGUGCGUGUUUCUCCUUGUGGCAUACUGGUGGUCUUUUUACAGAUACAGAGUUCUGGUUUUUGGAAAUGCGUUUAUUCCUUUAGCCUUUUUCCCUUCAGAAGCCUGCAGCCUUUGAUUGUGGCCUGACUUUUAGGGGUCUGCGGCAUUUUGGGGGGUAGUAAAUCUUAUUAACUCUUCCCUUUAGUGUCUCGCCAUUCUCAAAAACUUUUACAAAAAGCAGCAACACCGCCCUCACCAAAGACAGAUGAAAGGAGCGGUUUCAAAG